rnacentral:lncRNA from 1 species
UUCAGGAUUGGAGGCCUGCCAAGGCAAAGAUACAAGGAUGGAUAGGAGAUGGCAGGAGUCAAAAGGUACUGCUUUUGCCAAUCACACCAGAUCAGCUUGCGCACGGGUGAUAAUGAUAGGCACUAGUCAAAAAAGUGAAUCACUUUCAACGUAGUGUUAGUGAUGAGGGCAGUCUGCCAUUUUUUUUCUCCCAUAGUUUAUCUCCUCUUUACCUGCUCCAUGGACUGGUCCCUCCUACACAAAAAUAACCGAACUAUUUGCAAUUUGUCAUCUAAAAAGGUGAUGCUAGACUGCACUGCUCAUGUAACAUUUGAUUGAUACAAAUAUGAACAAACAUUUUCCCACCUUUGCAUACAUGUGUGAGCUUUCAAAAGCUAAAAAAGUGAAGUGUAAACAAUUUUAGUACAUAUUAACCUACUACUAAUUUCAACCUCUAUCUCUCUUGACAUGUUUAUUCAACAAAUGAUGACCAUAUACACUAUACAUAUGCAAGGAUGCCGCUUUCUAUGAGAUGUAUUCCUAAUUGGUUCUUGACAAUAAGGUCUUCGAAACCGGAAAGUUCAUGGAACCAUGGAAGAACUCCAUAAUCACUUUGACCCACAUCUCAGAAUAAGGCAAACUAAGUUUAGCUGUGGAAAGAAAUUCGUUGUCUAAUGACUCCAUAAUUUCCAUUGAAGAAGGAUCAAUAGCUACAAUUCCCUUACUCCAUAAUNNNN